UUUGAAAACUAGAUCAGUAGUAGAUAUAUUNUUAAAAUUCAAAGAAUUUGGCGGUAUCUUAAUCUUAUUAGAGGAACCUGUUUUAUAAACGAUAAACCACGAAGAAUCUUAUUUGCCUUGAGUAGUUUGUAUACCGUCAUUAUUAGAUAAUUUUGGAAAAAUCAAUUAUUGUAAUUAGAAUUAAAUUUAAAGAUAUUAGAUCAAGGUGCAGCUUAUAGGUAAGAAAAGAAUGGGUUACAAUAAAUUAAUUUAGACGGAAGUUACUCUUAAAUGAGUUGCUAAAGGCGGAUUUAAUUGUAUACUCAGAUUUAGCA
rnacentral:rRNA from 1 species